rnacentral:rRNA from 1 species
AGCGAACGCUGGCGGCAGGCUUAACACAUGCAAGUCGAACGGGCAUAGCAAUAUGUCAGUGGCAGACGGGUGAGUAACGCGUGGGAACGUACCUUUUGGUUCGGAACAACACAGGGAAACAUGUGCUAAUACCGGAUAAGCCCUUACGGGGAAAGAUUUAUCGCCGAAAGAUCGGCCCGCGUCUGAUUAGCUAGUUGGUAGGGUAAUGGCCUACCAAGGCGACGAUCAGUAUCUGGUCUGAGAGGAUGAUCAGCCACAUUGGGACUGAGACACGGCCCAAACUCCUACGGGAGGCAGCAGUGGGGAAUAUUGGACAAUGGGCGAAAGCCUGAUCCAGCCAUGCCGCGUGAGUGAUGAAGGCCCUAGGGUUGUAAAGCUCUUUUGUGCGGGAAGAUAAUGACGGUACCGCAAGAAUAAGCCCCGGCUAACUUCGUG